AAAUGAAGUCUCUUUAUAACGCGUAGAAACGCUGCUGCUGCCGCUGCUAUAGGAGAAGGAGGAGGACUUUAUAUCUAAAUGUAAUGCGUUCACAUACGCUGCUCUGUGUGUCUGACUGUCUUAUCUUUCUCCUUAGGUGUCACAUGACUUUGCCAUCAAUUUUAAUCCAGAUGAUGAUGAAUGUGAAGAAAUUCAGGGGGUGGUGGAAGCUUACCAGAACUGCCUGCCCAAGAUCCAGCUCUACGGCCCCACUAACGUGGCCCCCAUUAUCAGCAGAAUAGCCAAGCAGGCAGCCGGGAAGGAGCCCAUCAAAGACGCCUCGCGAUAUCACAUCCUGCUGAUCCUGACGGACGGGGUGGUGACGGACAUGGCGGACACGCGGGAGGCCAUCGUGCGCGCGUCUUACCAGCCCCUGUCCAUCAUCAUUGUGGGGGUGGGCAACGCCGACUUCACUGAUAUGCAAAUCCUGGACGGAGACGACGGCGUCCUGCGUUCCCCUAAAGGAGAACCCGUCCUGAGAGACAUCGUCCAGUUCGUGCCCUUCAGAGACUUCAAAACGGCCUCUCCUGCCGCCCUGGCGAAGUGUGUUCUGGCGGAGGUACCGAAGCAGGUGGUGGAGUACUUCAGUCACAAGGCCAUCCCUCCCAUGUGUCCUGUGCUGGAUUCUACCCCCAACUCCAUCGCCAACACCCCAGAUUAA
rnacentral:lncRNA from 1 species